rnacentral:rRNA from 1 species
UACGUAGGGUGCAAGCGUUAAUCGGAAUUACUGGGGGUAAAGCGUGCGCAGGCGGUUAUGCAAGACAGAUGUGAAAUCCCCGGGCUUAACCUGGGAACCGCAUUUGUGACUGCAUAGCUGGAGUACGGCAGAGGGGGAUGGAAUUCCGCGUGUAGCAGUGAAAUGCGUAGAUAUGCGGAGGAACACCGAUGGCGAAGGCAGUCCCCUGGGCCUGUACUGACGCUCAUGCACGAAAGCGUGGGGAGCAAACAGG